CCUACGGGCUGCACCAGUGGGGAAUAUUGCACAAUGGGCGCAAGCCUGAUGCAGCCAUGCCGCGUGUAUGAAGAAGGCCUUCGGGUUGUAAAGUACUUUCAGCGGGGAGGAAGGUGUUGUGGUUAAUAACCACAACAAUUGACGUUACCCGCAGAAGAAGCACCGGCUAACUCCGUGCCAGCAGCCGCGGUAAUACGGAGGGUGCAAGCGUUAAUCGGAAUUACUGGGCGUAAAGCGCACGCAGGCGGUCUGUCAAGUCGGAUGUGAAAUCCCCGGGCUCAACCUGGGAACUGCAUUCGAAACUGGCAGGCUAGAGUCUUGUAGAGGGGGGUAGAAUUCCAGGUGUAGCGGUGAAAUGCGUAGAGAUCUGGAGGAAUACCGGUGGCGAAGGCGGCCCCCUGGAAAAAGACUGACGCUCAGUUGCGAAAGCGUGGGGAGCAAACAGGAUUAGAUACCCCGGUACUC
rnacentral:rRNA from 1 species